AGAAGAAGAAAAUAUAAUUUGUUUGCAGAGGCUAAUGACAAAUGUAUGAAGAUAUAUUUCGUGGAGAAUUUUUUUGAUGUUUUAUCCUUCGCUGGAAAUUGGAUGGCACUCGAGCGAAUCGCAUUCGGCAAGUGCCUCACCGCCUCUCAGUGGAAAUUCACCGGUGGAAAGGCUCUCAGCUGCCAUUGCUGAUGAAUCAAUGCUAUCGAAGUAAGAAUUUUGCCAGGCUGAUGGUGGACGAAAUCUCCUCGUUGGUGAGCCAAUUAUGAAUUCGAUUCUCGUUGAGUCGUUCAGGGAUGUAUCUUGAUUCAAUGAGUCUGGAUAGAGGGAUGACUCACUGUGACGGAAACUGGUUGAUGAACACCAGGAGGUCGGGGGAUCGGCAUUCUUGGGGAUAAAUGCAGCAAACCAAAUCAUAAUUCCGCGAAAAUAAUCAGCAAGGUAAUAAAAACCAGAGGCAGAGAUGUUAAGAAUUUUUGAGGAGGGAGGAGUGACAGAUAUAUCCAGUAAUUUCGUGCUGUGGUCAGCGAGGAUGAACAGACAAAGAAGACAAAGUGUUAAGUCAUAAAAAAAAAAUCAUGCAGACGACAAAAAACAUUUUGUAAUGAAGGAAAUGAGUCUGAGGAUUUUAUACAUAUUAUUUGACAGAUAUUUUUGGAACUAAUAAACUUACAGGAAAAGCCAAAACACUCCUUUAUGUAAUUUACAAUUUACAAAUUGUAGAAAAUAUUCGCUAAAUAAUUUGAAAAUCCACUUAGUUCUCAACAGUCAUCUACGA